rnacentral:rRNA from 1 species
GAUGAACGAGGGGGGAGGGAGGAACACAUGCAAGUCGAACGAUGAAGCCCAGCUUGCUGGGUGGAUUAGUGGCGAAGGGGUGAGUAACACGUGAGUAACCUGGCCUUGACUCUGGGAUAAGCCUGGGCGACUGGGUCUAAUACUGGAUAUGACUUCUCAUCGCAGGGUGGGGGGUGGAAAGAUUUAUUGGUCUUGGAUGGACUUGCGGCCUAUCAGCUUGUUGGUGAGGUAAUGGCUAACCGAGUCGACGACUGGUAGCCGGCCUGAGAGGGUGACCGGCCACACUAGGACUGAGACACGGCCCAGACGCCUACGGGGGGCAGCAGUGGGGAAUAUUGCACAAUGGGCGCGAGCCUGAUGCAGCGGCGUCGCGUGAGGGAUGACGGCCUGCGGGUUGUAAACCGCUUUCAGUAGGGAAGAAGCGAGAGUGACGGUACCUGCAGAAGAAGCGCCGGCUCACUACGUC